AUGCGAGGGUCUGCGCCGCCGAGGACCCCUGAGCUGCGCUGCUCGCGGCCGCCGCCACCGCCGCGCCCGGGCCGCCCCUGGCUCCCCUCCUUUCUCGAGAAGGGCAGGGCUUUUCAGAGGCUUGGCGGGAAAAAGAGCGGAGGGAGGGAGUAUGAAAGCCGGAGGGAGCAGUAUAAAAGCCGGUUCUUGGUGCUUUAUCUGACUCGCUGUAGUAAUUCCAGCGAGAGGCAGAGGGAGCGAGCGGGCGGGCCAGCGAGGGUAGAAGAGCCGAGCGAGCCGAGCCGCGCUCCGGGCGAGCCGGGAAGGGAGAUCCGGAGUGAAAGAGGGGCUUCGCCUCCGGCCCAGCAGCCCCCACCCCAGCCCUCCCGCUGACUCCCCGCCCGCGGUCCGCAACCCUCGCCGCAUCCACGAAACUUUGCCCAUAGCAGCGGGUGGGCACUUUGCACUGGAACUUACAACACCCAAGCAAGGACGCGACUCUGCGGACGCGGGGAGGCUAUUUCACCCAUUUGGGGAUACUUUUCCCCGACGCUGCCCAGGACUCGCUCCUCUGAAAGGCGCUCCUUCCGCUGUUUGGACGCUGGAUUUCCUUCGGGUAGUGGAAAACCCG